rnacentral:tRNA from 1 species
AACUGGAUAGCUCAGUUGGUUAGAGCAUGGUACUGAUAACGCCAAGGUUGCAGGUUCAAUGGGGCGGCUGCAUAUUCCUGCAUUGCCUGGGGUUG